AGAGCGAACGCUGGCGGCAGGCCUAACACAUGCAAGUCGAACGGACCCUUCGGGGUUAGUGGCGGACGGGUGAGUAACACGUGGGAACGUGCCUUUUGGUUCGGAAUAGCUCCUGGAAACGGGUGGUAAUGCCGAAUGUGCCCUUCGGGGGAAAGAUUUAUCGCCAUUAGAGCGGCCCGCGUCUGAUUAGCUAGUUGGUGAGGUAAUGGCUCACCAAGGCGACGAUCAGUAGCUGGUCUGAGAGGAUGACCAGCCACAUUGGGACUGAGACACGGCCCAAACUCCUACGGGAGGCAGCAGUGGGGAAUCUUGCGCAAUGGGCGAAAGCCUGACGCAGCCAUGCCGCGUGAAUGAUGAAGGUCUUAGGAUUGUAAAAUUCUUUCACCGGGACGAUAAUGACGGUACCCGAGAAGAAGCCCCGGCUAACUUCGUGCCAGCAGCCGC
rnacentral:rRNA from 1 species